rnacentral:rRNA from 1 species
UACGUAGGUGGCGAGCGUUAUCCGGAUUUAUUGGGCGUAAAGCGUCCGCAGCCGGUUUUAUAAGUCUGGAAUUAAAGCCCGAGGCUCAACCUCGGUUCGUUUCAGAAACUGUAAGACUCGAGUGUGGUAGAGGCAAAUGGAAUUUCUAGUGUAGCGGUAAAAUGCGUAGAUAUUAGAAGGAACACCAGUGGCGAAGGCGAUUUGCUGGGCCACCACUGACGGUCAGGGACGAAAGCGUGGGGAGCAAAUAGG